rnacentral:rRNA from 1 species
AGUCAAUAGAUACCCGGGUAGUCCACGCCGUAAACGAUGAAUACUAGGUGUAGGAGGUAUCGACUCCUUCUGUGCCGCAGUUAAAACACAAUAAGUAUUCCGCCUGGGGUAGUACGGUCGCAAGAUUAAAAACCUCAAAGGAAUUGACGGGGGUCCCGGCACGAGCAGCGGAGCAUGUGGUUUAAAUUCGAAGCAACGCGAAGAACCUUACCUAGACUUGACAUCUUCUGCAUUAAACUCGUAAACUGGAUGAAAACUCCCUUCGGGGUACAGAAUGACAGGUGGUGCAUGGUUGUCGUCAGCUCGUGUCGUGAGAUGUUGGGUUAAACGUCCCGCAACGAGCGCAACCCCGUAUUAUUAGUUGCUAACCAUUAACGUUGAGCACUCUAGUGAGACUGCCC